UCUGUACGGGAAGGAUGAGAAGCUUCGACUAAGGUUCGAUUCGAGCGAAAGCGAGAAAGCGUUGCCGCAGGCAACGACCCGAAGGGCGAAACGCGCAGCGCUGAGUCAUCCUUCCCCCACCACCA
rnacentral:sRNA from 1 species